rnacentral:rRNA from 1 species
AACGAACGCUGGCGGCAUGCCUAACACAUGCAAGUCGAACGAGACGGUCGGGUCUAGGGGCGCACGGGUGCGUAACGCGGGGGAAGCUGCCCGUAGGUUAGGAAUAACUCACCGAAAGGGGUGCUAAUACCGGAGAAGGUCAUCGGAGCAAAGACUUAUCGCAUUUGGAUGGGCGCGCGUUGGAUUAGGUGGUUGGUAGUGUAAAAGCCGACCAAGGGGACGAUGCAUGGCUGGUCUGAGAGGAUGCUCAGCCACACUUGGAAUGAGACACGGCCCACACGCCUACGCAAGGCAGCAGUAGGUUAUAUUGUACACUGAGCGCUAACCUGAUCCAGCCAUGUCGCGUGAGUCAUGCAGCCCUUAGGAUUCUACUGCUCUUUUACCCGGGAUGUUAAUGACAGUACCGGGGGAAUAAGCUCCGGCUAACUACGUG